CUACGGGGCGCUGCAGUGGGGAAUAUUGCACAAUGGGCGCAAGCCUGAUGCAGCCAUGCCGCGUGUAUGAAGAAGGCCUUCGGGUUGUAAAGUACUUUCAGCGGGGAGGAAGGGAGUAAAGUUAAUACCUUUGCUCAUUGACGUUACCCGCAGAAGAAGCACCGGCUAACUCCGUGCCAGCAGCCGCGGUAAUACGGAGGGUGCAAGCGUUAAUCGGAAUUACUGGGCGUAAAGCGCACGCAGGCGGUUUGUUAAGUCAGAUGGGAAAUCCCCGGGCUCAACCUGGGAACUGCAUCUGAUACUGGCAAGCUGGAGUCUCGUAGAGGGGGGUAGAAUUCCAGGUGUAGCGGUGAAAUGCGUAGAGAUCUGGAGGAAUACCGGUGGCGAAGGCGGCCCCCUGGACGAAGACUGACGCUCAGGUGCGAAAGCGUGGGGAGCAAACAGGAUUAGAUACCCGGGUAGUC
rnacentral:rRNA from 1 species